GAACGGUUGGCUCAUUUGGUAAGAGCGCUCGCAUUCCGCGAGAGGUCGCGGGUUCGAAUCCCGCAUCGUUCA